rnacentral:rRNA from 1 species
UACGUAGGUGGCAAGCGUUGUCCGGAUUUUAUUGGGUUUUAAAGGGUGCGUAGGCGGCUUAUUAAGUCAGACGUGAAAUCCCCUCGGCUUAACCGGGGAACUGCGUCUGAUACUGGAUGGCUUGAGGUUGGGAGAGGGAUGCGGAAUUCCGAGGUGUAGCGGUGAAAUGCGUAGAUAUCUGGAGGAACACCGGUGGCGAAGGCGGCAUCCUGGACCAAUUCUGACGCUGAGGAGCGAAAGCUAGGG